rnacentral:lncRNA from 7 species
AAUGUUUGCUGAAGAAUAUCCUAUGUGUCCUUGAUAGUGACUCUGAAGGAAGUGAAUUCUCUGAUAUCUCUGCAUGUGAAGAUGAUGUCAGUCUGCAUACAGACACUGACAUGGAAGACUUGUGUGGUGAACUCUCUCGUAUGCCUGAGGAUGUAACUUUCCCUCAGCAGCAAACUGCUUCGACGUAUGAGGUGGAGGACUGGGAUAAAGAGUUGGAGGAGUCUGAAUGUAGUCCUUAUGGCGGCGCUGACUCUGCAAGCUAAAACAGGAGCAGCAAGCAGUAAUUGCAUCCACUUGGUUACUGGAGUGAGAGGCUUGGAGUCUGAAUUCAGUGGUGAUCUGGAUGUACAAAAGGAGGACUCAGUUGUCUGGGAUCACGAGUGUUACAAAUCACUCCACGCCUGUCCUCUGCAUUUUGGAGAGCAGGACGUUGACAUUUCUGUCUGUGUUUUGUUAUUCUGGUCAUUGAGAGGCAGACGGCUCUGGCUGUGGUUUCUCCUGUCCUGUUCAGAAGAGAGCUGUGUGAUCUGGAAACUGAUGGUGCAGUCUUGUCCGAUAGCAUCUGCUUUCCCUGAAUAAUCGUGGACGUUUCCACUUCUCCACUCAUCCCUCCAAGCACCUUGCAGUCAUAAAUCGUAAUGCUAGAGCAAUGGAGUCAUGCUUAGGGAAUGAUCUCCCCUCGGAGGUGAAUCCUGAUACCUGACGUAUGAGAAGACCAGGCACAUGCUAAAAAUUCCUUGCUAAUUUAGGUUGCUAGUUCAUCAAAAACAUCCUCCCAAACAUGCACAGGAUGUAUUAAGUUAUGGUGUAGUAAGCGAUCAGCUUGUCGUACUGACAUUUCUGCUCCUUGCCUGGACUUCAUUAUCUUUCUCAAGAAAUCAGAUCUGUUAAUACCACACGGCUGUAAAUUUGUGUAACUGGAAACCUCUCCCCAGGCAGACAAAUAUAUGAGGACAACUGAGCAUUGCUGUUCUCUGAAGGCUGAUAUAUAAAUACAUACAGGACAGACUAACACCAUCUCUUCCCUGUCUCAGGUCCAAUGGAGUCUUAGCUUCUAGAUCUCUUUUUGUUUUUUCCUCCUGUUUGAGCCUUGGCCCAGUCACAUUUUUGCAUGGGCACGUUGCGAGUCAUGAAUUGGAUUAUCUUUUGGGCUAUCAGAUGAGGAGAUUUAAUUAUGUGUAAGUCACCUCAUGGUGUUACCUUGCUAUCUCUGGUUCUACUUGGAAGAGCUCAGAGAUGUUCAUCCAGCGGCAGGGGAGGUUCCAGCUGUGUCAGAACGCAGUCCCUGUGCGUGCUGUUGCUUUGGUGACUUACAGACCAGAAACGAGAGGUACUUAGAAGUGAAACUGCCCAUGUGUUGAACCACCCAAGCAGGUCAAUGCCACUGAUGGUAAAGCCUUCCAUGUUCCUUAAGUUGACUGCUCAACUUCUUGAGGGCUCUGAGCAGCAUAGUAGCUCUGAAUGUACGACUGGCUUCUUGGUGUGGUGUUGGUAGGAAUGGAGAGCGGAGUUACUCCAUGCGGUGUGUGUCUGGAAGCUGCUCAGGACGAGCGAGGAGCAUCCAGGCUGAUCUCCUGCUGAUGUUACCGUGGGCCAAAAUUUUCUUGCAGUUGAUGAAAUGUGUAGCAGAGAUUCUCACGGUGCAAUAACUUGCCACAGUCACUGCUGUUAUCCUUAAAAUGCAGUGCAGUGGGUAAUUAUUUACCAGUACCAGGUGCUCCUGGACUUUCUUAGGAGGCUGAUUUUGGAGCCUAGUUUCAAAAUGUUGAGGUGCAUUUUGACGUUUGCUGUAACUGUUGUUAAGGAAAAUCUGUAUAAACCGCCUCCUGUGUUUGGCAGAGAUCAUGGCAGUCCGUAUUCUGUUGUAUCUGGUUUUGUACCGAGGCAUUAUCGCACAUGGUUGUCUCUUAUUUGCAAUCUUGGCUCAUUAAAGUGGUGAUU